UCGGCCCGAAAUGUUGACGGUCCAUUUCCCUCCACAGAUGCUGCCCGACCCACUGAGUUCCUCCGGCAGUUUGUUCUUUGGUCUGUAUAACCCGUGUCAGUAUGGGGAGCGGGAUAUUACACCGUAUUCCAGGUACAGUCUCAACAAAACCCAAAUAAUUGUCAUUUUGUCCGGAUCACUGGCCCCGCUUGCAGGGCAACAGUCUGCCGGUGUUUGCCCCCAAUGUGGUGAAUCCCUCUGCUCGACACCACCGUGGGCCCAGACAUUUCCACAGAUGAGCCCCUCCUGUCCCCACCGGGACAAACAUCCUGUCCGCCCCCUCUUACACCAUCUUCAUCCUGUCGAUAAAAUCCCUCCCCGGGGAACCGGCAUCGAACCGACGGGCCGAGCGGUCUCCUCCUACCUCUCAGCCAUACAUCAGACUCGGGCCGCGGGAGACGCUUCAGAAACGCCCCGACUUCCCUCGGAGGGAAAUGGAAAUAAAUCAGAAAGCGGACAUUUACUUUGAGGUUUUCUCCGCCCUGAUGAGCGGGAGACGGACUCAGCGGGGUAUCGCCCACUCGGCCUGUCCGCCUCCGCGACUGGUUGUAACCGGUGACUGACAUCGCUUCGCACCAAUGGGAAUAGCGCAGCUCCUGAUUCCUCUGUUGACAGCGGUGCGGGAGGGGCUGGUCACGUGAUUAUUAGCCCAGCCGUUCCACCGAUAAAGCUCGAGCAGAGCAGCGCGUGGGUGACGUAAGACACCGCGCACGUGAGGGCAGAUCCCGGCGUGGGGAGCCCAUGUGUGACGUCAGGCGCAUGGGGGGAGGAGCUGUGUGACGUCACCUGUGGGAGAGCGCUGGCAUUUAAAAGCACCUUAAUGGACCUUUCAGUGGGUCAACAACAUUAAUGACGGGUUUCAUCACUGGAUCCAGUGUUGUGGGAUGUAAAGUCCCCUGUUAUGUGUCCGGCUGUGCCGUGUUGUUGGUGGAGUGGGCAGCGUGGUGUUUGUCUCGAUUCGGGUCACAACACCAGAAUUGCCAGCGGGUCCACACACAGUGUAUUAAUCAACAGAAAACCUCUCGUCCCUGCAGUCUUUGUCUCCUGGUAAACUCAACACCCUGACAGUGUGGACCAUAGAUACCCCUUCCUCUCAGAGUCAGGGGAUCACUCAGACAGCUGAUCGCUGAGAGGAAUUCUAUUUAUUGGUCAUUAAAGUUCACCCGGAUUCGUUUGGACGGAUUUGAUGUGGAGUUCGGGUUGUCAGAGUGAAAGGGCCGGACGGCCGAACUCUCUCCGUUGUCCAAACAUCCUUCCAGCCACUAGUGGCGCUGCAUGGACCUCCAGGCUUGGACCUCUGGCCCCAGGUGGCGCUGUGCGGCCCUCCGGCCACGGGUGGCGCUGCGGAGAAACGCCUGCUAUACGCAUGCGCAGUGCUCUCUACAGCUGUUUGCAGAUCUCCGAUUCGAGCGGGGUUAGACCUGCAGUGAGAGAUUUAUUGGAAGAAAAACCACGACUGAAGACGAGGGAACAGCAACAAGUGAACCAGCCCGAGGACUGAGAACACCGACUGGAGAGAACCCAUCUGACUCAGGGUUUCCAUUGAUUCAGUCAGGAGAAAGUUUGAUCUGUCACAAUGCUGAAAGCAAAAACGUAGGUCACUCCUUUAUAUUUGUAUGAAUCCAUCGGAUGAUGGCAAAGCUGCCAAAACACCUGGUCGAUAUCCACGCACUCGGAUGACCGACCGUGGCUCGGGUCGCAGAAAGCAGAUCUGAUCAGGAGAGUCGUUGUAGGAGAAGAGAUGACCGACCGUGGCUCGGGUCGCAGAAAGCAGAUCUGAUCAGGAGAGUCGUUGUAGGAGAAGAGA